UCACCCUAUGAGAAUUAUGCAUGUAUUAGAAGAUUAUUAUUGCUAUGCUAUUGAGCUAUAUCCCCUCGUCAUUGAAGAUCGUGUUAGAUAUAUUUUUCUAUGCUAUGUAGACGGGGAUUUGUUUCUGUAUUCAUUGAGUUUAUGUGAGGAUUACUACAAAAUAAAUUGAGUAGUAAUUCAGGAUAUAAUACACCUCUGGGCGGAUAUGGUAUUGUUGGG
rnacentral:lncRNA from 1 species